UGGGGAAUAUUGCGCAAUGGGCGAAAGCCUGACGCAGCAACGCCGCGUGAGGGAUGACGGCCUUCGGGUUGUAAACCUCUUUCAGCCCGACGAAGCGUGAGUGACUGUAGGGGAAGAAGAAGCACCGGCUAACUACGUGCCAGCAGCCGCGGUAAUACGUAGGGUGCGAGCGUUGUCCGGAACUAUUGGGCGUAAAGGGCUCGUAGGCGGCCUGUCGCGUCUGCUGUGAAAUCCCGGGGCUCAACCCCGGGUCUGCAGUGGAUACGGGCAGGCUAGAGUCCGGCAGGGGAGACUGGAAUUCCUGGUGUAGCGGUGAAAUGCGCAGAUAUCAGGAGGAACACCGGUGGCGAAGGCGGGUCUCUGGGCCGGUACUGACGCUGAGGAGCGAAAGCGUGGGGAGCGAACAGGAUUAGAUACCCUGGUAGUCCACGCCGUAAACGUUGGGCGCUAGGUGUGGGAUUCCUUCCACGGGUUCCGUGCCGUAGCUAACGCAUUAAGCG
rnacentral:rRNA from 1 species